rnacentral:rRNA from 1 species
UGGGGAAUAUUGGGCAAUGGGGGAAACCCUGACCCAGCAACGCCGCGUGAAGGAAGAAGGCCCUCGGGUUGUAAACUUCUUUUACCAGGGACGAAGGAAGUGGCGGUACCUGGAGAAAAAGCAACGGCUAACUACGUGCCAGCAGCCGCGGUAAUACGUAGGUUGCAAGCGUUGUCCGGAUUUACUGGGUGUAAAGGGCGUGUAGGCGGAGGAGCAAGUCAGAUGUGAAAUCCCGGGGCUCAACCCCGGAACUGCAUUUGAAACUGUCGUUCUUGAGUGCCGGAGGGGAAAGCGGAAUUCCUAGUGUAGCGGUGAAAUGCGUAGAUAUUAGGAGGAACACCAGUGGCGAAGGCGGCUUUCUGGACGGUAACUGACGCUGAGGCGCGAAAGCGUGGGGAGCAAACAGGAUUAGAUACCCUGGUAGU